GGCUAUUGUGGACCGCUCCGAAGUGUGUUGGUUGCCUUGACACACUCCUGGCUUUGCUCUCAUCGAAUUUGAGGAUCCCGGAGAUGCUGCUGAUGCUGUCCAAGAGCUAGAUGGAAGAACACUAUAUAUGUAAGAGUGGAACUGUCCAACGGUGAAAAGAGAAGUCGGAAUCAUGGCCUACCUCCCUCUUGAGGUCGUCAUCCUCAAGAUGAUCACCGCAGGAGGAGUCCUCCACCUCAGCUCAGACCCCCAAGAAAGAGAAGUUUUUCCUGAAGCUGGAGCAGCUCACUUUCUAGAGAAAGGAGAAGAGAAAGGUCUCUGUCUCGUGAGAGAAAUCACGAGCCUUCCCCAUCCUUCUCUAGGUCUCGUAGCCAAUCUAAGUCAAAUGAAGGGAAAUAGAAGGCCAGUUUGCAAAAGUGGUAUACAGGAAGUAAGUUCAUUUGACAGGAGUAUGUCCAGGAAAUUAAAGUCUUGUUUGAGACUUCAUAA
rnacentral:lncRNA from 1 species